UAGGGAAUCUUCCACAAUGGACGCAAGUCUGAUGGAGCAACGCCGCGUGAGUGAAGAAGGUUUUCGGACCGUAAAGCUCUGUUGUUGGUGAAGAAGGAUAGAGGUAGUAACUGGCCUUUAUUUGACGGUAAUCAACCAGAAAGUCACGGCUAACUACGUGCCAGCAGCCGCGGUAAUACGUAGGUGGCAAGCGUUGUCCGGAUUUAUUGGGCGUAAAGCGAGCGCAGGCGGAAGAAUAAGUCUGAUGUGAAAGCCCUCGGCUUAACCGAGGAAUUGCAUCGGAAACUGUUUUCUUGAGUGCAGAAGAGGAGAGUAGAACUCCAUGUGUAGCGGUGGAAUGCGUAGAUAUAUGGAAGAAUACCAGUGGCGAAGGCGGCUCUCUGGUCUGCAACUGACGCUGAGGCUCGAAAGCAUGGGUAGCGAACAGGAUUAGAUACCCUGGUAGUCCAUGGCCGUAAACGAUGAGUACUAAGUGUUGGGAGGCUUCCGCCUCUCAGUGCUGCAGCUAACGCAUUAAGCACUCCGCCUGGGGGAGUACGACCGCAAGGUUGAAAC
rnacentral:rRNA from 1 species